GGGGGUAUAGCUCAGUGGCUAGAGCACCCGCAUACGUAUCGGAAGGUCGGGGGUUCGACUCCCUCUGCCUCCA
rfam:Pristionchus pacificus strain PS312 contig8455, whole genome shotgun sequence.